rnacentral:tRNA from 2 species
ACGGGUAUGGUGCAACGGUAGCAUACGGGUCUCCAAAACCUUUGAUCUGGGUUCGAAUCCUAGUACCCGUGCAA